UACGUAGGGCGCAAGCGUUGUCCGGAAUUAUUGGGCGUAAAGAGCUCGUAGGCGGUCUGUCGCGUCCGUUGUGAAAACUCGAGGCUCAACCUCGGGCUUGCAGUGGAUACGGGCAGACUAGAGUGCGGUAGGGGAGACUGGAAUUCCUGGUGUAGCGGUGGAAUGCGCAGAUAUCAGGAGGAACACCGAUGGCGAAGGCAGGUCUCUGGGCCGCAACUGACGCUGAGGAGCGAAAGCACGGGGAGCGAACAGG
rnacentral:rRNA from 1 species